UAUAUGACUGAAAAUAUUAUCGUCAUUUGUAAGCGCAUGAGUGAUGUUCUUAUCUGCCACAUCCACAUUUUCCUAAUUGUCACAAUGAUAUGUUUGAUAACCCUAUUUUGACAACCCUAUAUUGAAUUCUGGAUCAUGUCUUACCAUUACUUGUUCUAUCUCCUGACUUUUCCUCAGGAAUGUGGAGGAUGCAAAUAGCUGAGCCUCAUUCUCUAUGUUGAUCAUUUUGAUGUGGCCAGAUUUGCAUUUGGUAGAUAGACUUAAGUCCCAUAGUAAAUUUGAUGAUUUUUGUUUUCAAGACUAGAUGAAGAGCUAAAUAUUUGAAACACAAAACUUUCUGAGCUAAAAUAGUUCCAUUUUCAUUGCUCAGGUUAGAUAGAAUAAAGGUCAGAAAUCCCGUGUGUGUGUGUAUAGAGAGAUCUUUAAGCUUAAGCUUCCUCACUUUGUUGGUUGAGAUAGUUAUCGGUUAGAUUUCACUAUUAUAAAGAUUCUGUUUGACUUUAUAAUUAAUUAGAAAUCUGAGAAGUGAUAUUUUGAGAUGUAUGAAUAUCCUCUUUCUUACCAACCUAUCCCCAAAUUUUCAGAAUCUAUUGAUGAUUCCUAUCUAAAUUAAUCAUUGUAUCAGCAGUGGCAAGAUGAUUUUCUAAUUCUGUAAUCUUUCUUCACUCCUCUUCCUUUUUAAAUAUCAUGAGCACAUGGAUUCUUUGCAAAUGGAGUGAGUCAUUUCUGACAUUAUUCUUUGUUGAUUCUUAAAUUGGCCUAGUGUGAUGAGUGAGACACCUUUUAAGUGGGCUUCUGCAUACUUUCUAGAAGUCUCUAUUAGUUCUUUAGCACUUUCUUCUUCGUGACAUGACAAAAUGUUCACUUUGUAUUUUUUCUACCUCAGACCUAGAAAUAGCUCUUAACCCAGUAGUUGGUUUCUUUUUAUUGAGUAAUGAUAUUUUUAAAAAUCAAGAUCAUCAGUGGUAAGCUUAUCAUUUAUAUUGAGCUCAAUUUCGGUGGACAGAGCUAAGAAUACGGUCAUCCUUUAAUAUCCUUGAGGAAAUUGGUUGAAGGAUGCAGAGAACAAAAUCCCUGAGUGCUCAAAUCCAUUAUAUUAAAUGGCUUGGGUAAUAUAGCCUGUGAACAAUCCACCUUUGUACUUGAAAUCAUCUCUCUAGAUUACUUAGAAUGGCUAAACUAGUACAGUCAUUGUUCUCAAAAGUAUUAAUACAUUUGCUGCCAUGCACAAAACACAGUAAUAUCAUUACCAAUGGCAGACCUACCUAAGUAAACUGCAAGAUUUGUUUUUGUCUUUAGAGUAUAUUCCAGGUUCAGAGCUUGCUUGCAUGAAUAAAUUCUUUUUCCCUCCAUGUUUAUGUCAUUAAUUUGAAAUAAAACUACAUCUAUCUGUUUCUGUUCUGCUCAGUUUCCUCUUUUCUAUCUCUAUAUAUUUAAUUUUGUUAAUUUAUUCACUAUCACAUUGAAAUAUCAAACAGAUGGCUUACAGUAAAAUACUUACAAUUCUUUGCAUGUAUUGUUUUCUCAUUUUGCUUUUACCAUGUAAUAUAUUCCUAGACAUCACCUACUAUUUUAUAUUGAUCCUUAUUCUUUUUUUUUUAACAGCUGUGUUGUGGUAGAGUUACCAUAAUUAAUUCAGGUGAACACCAGUGGGUUUCUGGAUAGUUUUGUGUUUAUAAAUAACUUCAUACUGAAUGGCUUUGUUCACAUAUUUUUGGUUUUUGGAGGUAUACUCUGGUGUGGGGGGCAGGGCUUCAUGCAUGCUAGGCAAACACUCUACCACUAGGCUACUUUCCCAGCCCCUACUUUUC